rnacentral:rRNA from 1 species
AUUGAACGCUGGCGGAAUGCUUUACACAUGCAAGUCGAACGGCAGCACGGGGCAACCUGGUGGCGAGUGGCGAACGGGUGAGUAAUACAUCGGAACGUGCCCAGUCGUGGGGGAUAACGUAGCGAAAGCUACGCUAAUACCGCAUACGAUCUACGGAUGAAAGCGGGGGACUCGCAAGAGCCUCGCGCGAUUGGAGCGGCCGAUGGCAGAUUAGGUAGUUGGUGGGGUAAAGGCUCACCAAGCCUGCGAUCUGUAGCUGGUCUGAGAGGACGACCAGCCACACUGGAACUGAGACACGGUCCAGACUCCUACGGGAGGCAGCAGUGGGGAAUUUUGGACAAUGGGCGCAAGCCUGAUCCGGCCAUUCCGCGUGCAGGAUGAAGGCCUCGGUUGUAACUAGCUUUGUACGGUACGAAAGGUUUACUCGUAUACAGAGGGACGUCGAUGACGGUACCGUAACGGAAUAAGAC